UUGUUACUCAUCACAUGAUAUUAGCCCAUGCUGCUGCUGCUCAACUGUAUAAAGAGAAGUACAAGGUGUGAUAUGUAGCCGCUAAUUUAAAUUAUAUGCAUAUAAGCACAAUACUGAAGUUGAUGAGCAAGCCUUUUUACCCUUUUCAGGAGACACAAGGAGGAGAAAUUGGAAUUGAAAUGGUUGGUACUUGUUUUUUACCGUACUCUGAUUCACCUCAAGAUCUAGCUGCACGAGAUAGACUCAGAGACUUCAACAUGGGAUGGUAAGUUAUACAAGACCUGAAAUGAGAGCCUAAAAUCAUGCAUGUAUGCUUGCCAGCCUAAAAGAUAAUUCAACAAAUUUAUUUAAUUAGUAAGAUUGAAUGCCAAAAUUCUUUGAAAUUUAUAUGGUAUAGGAAGCAAGUGAUCAUAUAAUGAUAACAAGUAACGUGGAUCAUAUAUGGUGUUGAUUAGGUGCCUAGAGCCAUUUAUCUAUGGACAUUACCCCGUUACCAUGAGAAAUAUGGUGAGAGACAGACUUCCAACAUUCAGUGACCAGGAGAAAGAAAUUGUUAUGGGAUCCAUAGAUUUUCUUGGUAUCAAUUACUACACUGCAAAAUUUGCAAAAGGCUUGCCUAUCAUAGAUCAUAAACCCUAUAACUGGGACACGGACUCUGCAGUCAGACAAUCUCUAGGUAAACUUGAAUGCAGAAUACAUUUUGUAUCACUUUUGAUUCCAAAACAUUUUGAAGAAAUUCUAUGUUCUUCAUUGAUUCCAAAAAGUAUUUACCUUAUCAUACUUCUCCAAUAUUCCCCCCUCUCCCCCUCUCAAAGGUUACAAGUUCUUCCCAAAUAUGCUGAUAUACUUAUAUAUAUUACUAAAAACUGGCUCAUUCUUUAGUGUUUUGUUAUUGUCAAUUUGUCAUAGUGAAUGCAAAAGGUGACAGUAUAGGCCCCCUGGUAAGAAGAUGAUGCUUCUCUAUUCCAUUUACGCAUCAUUUGCUAACCCUUUUGCUAUAUGCAUACUUUUUAUUUUAUUUUGUUUUGUUACAGAUAGAUACGGUUUCAAAAAUUGCGUACUACCCGGAUGGAUUGAGACAAGUUCUGGUCUAUCUGACGCAGAGAUUUAACUCCCCCAAAAUUUAUAUAAGUGAAAAUGGUGAGCAUUAUACUUCAUGAUGUUAUAAUGAUAAUAUUUGGUCCUGUUUAAUACAAUGAAAUAUCUUUUGCAACACCAUAUUUGAUUUAAAUUAUUCCUGCAACUGAUUACUGUUGAUGGGCCGGCAUACAGGAAUGGGAAAAAGUACUGAAAAUGAUGCAGGGUUUCUACAAGGGAAAAGAGAUGAUGAAUACCGCAUCCAGUGCAUUAUAGACCAUCUGGAUGCCAUUAAAGGCGCAAGGGAGUAAGCUUUCAUUUAAUAUAAUGAUUGAUAAUAUAUAGUAAUAGCUUUGUAAGACGAGUACAUAUAUUAAUUAAGCGUUUUGCAAAUGUGUGUUGUAGGGAGGGAGCCAAUGUGAUGGGAUACUCAGUGUGGUCUUUGCUGGACAGUUUUGAAUUUCUACAUGGAUAUCCUUUUCGGUGUGGCCUAUUUUAUACUGAUUACAAUAACCAUCUCAAACGGUUCCCUAAAAAGUCUGCAGAGUGGUACAGAUCGUUUUUAGCCAUUGAUAAGUAAGACAGAGUGAUUCAUUAUCAAAGUUACUCAUGUUGGACCUCAAAUUCAGCUUAAUACAAUAUCUAAAGGAGGAGGAUACUACCAAAAUUAAUUCAUGUCAUAAAACUAGUAGUCUCUAUAUACGUAUGUAGUUGAAAAUCUGUAUCGGUUUCAAUAUAAUGCAAUGUAUGGAAAAAAUGUUAACUUGUUGGUAAUGUGUGUACAUUGAAUUGAACCAAUAUUGUGCAAAUUGAAUAAAUAACAGCAAACAUGGAAAUUAAAGUGAAUGAAGAAGUGCACCUUAUAAGAUGAAUCUCUUUUCUUUGUACCAGUGUACUGUGUACCACUACAAUAGUACCUAUACUGUUGCGUAAAUUUUCAUUGAAAAACCAUGGAAGAAAUUCUCUACUACCUUAGCUUGAUUACCUGCACCACUCCUCCCUAAUCCCAAUCACACAUACUAAAACAGUCAUUUCAAUUCGUAGAUCUCUCUAAAACAACCCUUUACUUCCACCACUACCUUGCAAACAAAUUCCAACAAUUCAUCAAACAUCGGACAGGCAAAAGGCAAUUGCCAAUAGGCAAUAGGCCAAUAGUUCCACAGUGGAAACAGGACAUGGAUCAACCUUUGUGCCUGGGUUUCAUUUUGCUCUGCUCAGUGUGGUGCUGAACUCUAUAAGCCUAGGAGUGGGCGGCAAUGAGGGGAAAACCGGAAGACAAUGAUACCCCAAUGAGAGGAAGGAGUGAGUGAAAGAAGAGCUUCAACUUCAACACAGCUAAUUUCAUUUCAUAACUUGAUUUUAUACUUUCAGUCCAACCCACCCACCAUUACCAUUAUUAUCAUUAGAACAGAACUCAAUGUCGACGCUAAAAGAAAAGACAACCAUAGCUCCUUACUUCUCUUUUGCUUUUGUUUCCAAAUUAAACAAAAUUCCCUGAAACAAAUCAAACAUACCCAUAAAUAUAAUCAGAGACAGAGAGAGAUGGGUGUUUUUAAUAAAAGGCUGGAGCUUGGACGGGUGGUAAGUUGAAAUUUGUUCUUCUAAUUAUUAGAAGGGCAGUGGUAUGAAAUGCCCUUUAGACGUGGGUCAAAC
rnacentral:lncRNA from 1 species